rnacentral:rRNA from 1 species
GACGAACGCUGGCGGCGUGCUUAACACAUGCAAGUCGAACGAAGAGCGAUGGAAGCUUGCUUCUAUCAAUCUUAGUGGCGAACGGGUGAGUAACGCGUAAUCAACCUGCCCUUCAGAGGGGGACAACAGUUGGAAACGACUGCUAAUACCGCAUACGAUCUAAACUCGGCAUCGAGGAUAGAUGAAAGGUGGCCUCUACAUUUAAGCUAUCAACGAAGGAGGGGAUUGCGUCUGAUUAGCUAGUUGGAGGGGUAAAGGCCCACCAAGGGGAUGAUCAGUAGGCGGUCUGAGAGGAUGAACGGCCACAUUGGGAAUGAGAAACGGCCCAGACUCCUACGGGAGGCAGCAGUGGGGAAUCUUCCGCAAUGGACGAAAGUCUGACGGAGCAACGCCGCGUGAGUGAUGACGGCCUUCGGGUUGUAAAGCUCUGUUAAUAGGGACGAAAGGCCUUCUUGCGAAUAGUGAGAAGGAUUGACGGUACCGGAAUAGAAAGCCACGGCUAACUACGUG